UGUCUGCAAUGAACCAACUGAAUUGUAGACCAACAGAUGCCGUCAGGAUUUCCGUUAGAUUGACCGCGUCAACUCACAUGGGACAGGGAAGAUGAAACUGUGAAGUAUGAAGUUACCACGGGGGCUUUUAGGGAAGAAGGAGAGAGGCAGCUGCAUCGAGGAGGAGAUAAGGUUGGAAGACUGUUGAAGUCUUGUGGUCGUUGAAGUCUUCAGAAACCAUUAACCUGCAAACAAACCAUAAGAAUGAGAAGAAAGGGUCAGAUGUAUCAAAACAGGGCGAAUUUCCAACACGCUUUGUUGCCAAUGAAGUAGAUCGCCCGGGCUUUGCUAUCGUCAAUCACAAUCUCAGACAAGCAGGCUCAAUUGGCAUUCUUGUUUUUGCCCCUCAAUUCAUUGCUCACUCUAAUCAGCUAUCAGUUUGAAGAAAAUUCCGCUACUCAAGUAUGGUGAUUUCAAGAAUUACAGUGGACUUUUCAGUCAUCAGGACCUUUAGAUCAUACAGCUGAGCAAGAUAAACCACUAUCUCCAAUAUGAGGUUCCACAUAGCCGAUAUUGAUGUAUUUAUGUCAUAGUAAUUUAAAGCUGGAAAAAUUGCGUCGACAUGCUGCAACCAAACAACGGAAUUUCGUAAGGAGAGAGGAUAGAUUGUUUUCCAUGAAAAAUUAAAAUGCAAUAACCAUAAUUAUCCCAACGAGAAAAGAAAUGGUACUUACAGGUCACAGCUUUUAAUGAUGGUGAAUGAGUUUAUAUCCAUCUUUUCCUAGCAAGAGUGAUUUAUAUCCAGGGGAGCAAAGAGGGCAAGUGGAUGGGACAUGUUCAUGAUUAAUUGUUGUUCAAGACUAGCUUGCUUACAAGCACAAACCUUGUACAGAAUUUCCUUGAUCUUGUUGUGGAUCUAUUCCUUGCAUGUAAAUAGAAAUUUUGUGAGAGUUCCAUGUAGAAAUCUUGUUUAAAUUACCUUCAUUGUUUAGAACUUGUGUAUAAAUCACUUCCAUGCAUAGAUAUGUAUACACUCAAUGUAACAGUUUGACCAAGAGUUGAACUAGCACACUUGCAGAUAAUAUGUAAUUGCAUUUGGAGGUAAAGAACUUCAAUUCUAGUACAUGUUACGGAUAAACAUUGUAUAAAGAGGAAAUUGGCUGUUUUCAUUAUUUUGCUUAUCCUAACUUCAAAGUUAGUGUAAGUACUUGAUAUGACCAGAUUAAAGCGCGUCUAUAUAUACUGAAUAUUAGACAAAUGGGGACUAGGCUUCAAUCAUAUUGACAACUUGAUUCUGAAUUUGGACACCUUGGCCUGUUUUAACAUUCCCAUCAAAUUUCUGAAAAAAACUACCACUUAUCAUUUCUACUCCAGUGAUGAAAAGAGCUCUGGAUUUGGUCACGAUGCCAUCUCUUUACAAUGUGUUUCAACAUCCAGAUUCCUCCAAUGCCAAAAACAAAAACAAAAAA